CCUUCAUAUAUACUAUGCUGACUUGAGUAAUGAUAAAUUGUUAGUAUCAGCUAUCUAUAG
rnacentral:rRNA from 1 species